CCUUAGAGUUUGAUCCUGGCUCAGGACGCUUGCUGGCGGCGCGCCUAACACAUGCAAGUCGAACGAGCGAGAGAGAGCUUGCUUUCUCGAGCGAGUGGCGAACGGGUGAGUAACGCGUGAGGAACCUGCCUCAAAGAGGGGGACAACAGUUGGAAACGACUGCUAAUACCGCAUAAGCCCACGGGUCGGCAUCGACCAGAGGGAAAAGGAGCAAUCCGCUUUGAGAUGGCCUCGCGUCCGAUUAGCUAGUUGGUGAGGUAACGGCCCACCAAGGCGACGAUCGGUAGCCGGACUGAGAGGUUGAACGGCCACAUUGGGACUGAGACACGGCCCAGACUCCUACGGGAGGCAGCAGUGGGGAAUAUUGCACAAUGGGGGAAACCCUGAUGCAGCGACGCCGCGUGGAGGAAGAAGGUCUUCGGAUUGUAAACUCCUGUUGUUGAGGAAGAUAAUGACGGUACUCAACAAGGAAGUGACGGCUAACUACGUGCCAGCAGCCGCGGUAAAACGUAGGUCACAAGCGUUGUCCGGAAUUACUGGGUGUAAAGGGAGCGCAGGCGGGAAGACAAGUUGGAAGUGAAAUCUAUGGGCUCAACCCAUAAACUGCUUUCAAAACUGUUUUUCUUGAGUAGUGCAGAGGUAGGCGGAAUUCCCGGUGUAGCGGUGGAAUGCGUAGAUAUCGGGAGGAACACCAGUGGGGAAGGGGGCCUACUGGGGCACCAACUGACGCUGAGGCUCGAAAGUGUGGGUAGCAAACAGGAUUAGAUACCCUGGUAGUCCACACCGUAAACGAUGAUUACUAGGUGUUGGAGGAUUGACCCCUUCAGUGCCGCAGUUAACACAAUAAGUAAUCCACCUGGGGAGUACGACCGCAAGGUUGAAACUCAAAGGAAUUGACGGGGGCCCGCACAAGCAGUGGAGUAUGUGGUUUAAUUCGACGCAACGCGAAGAACCUUACCAAGUCUUGACAUCCUGCGACGCACAUAGAAAUAUGUGUUUCCUUCGGGACGCAGAGACAGGUGGUGCAUGGUUGUCGUCAGCUCGUGUCGUGAGAUGUUGGGUUAAGUCCCGCAACGAGCGCAACCCUUACUGUCAGUUACUACGCAAGAGGACUCUGGCAGGACUGCCGUUGACAAAACGGAGGAAGGUGGGGAUGACGUCAAAUCAUCAUGCCCUUUAUGACUUGGGCUACACACGUACUACAAUGGCGUUAAACAAAGAGAAGCAAGACCGCGAGGUGGAGCAAAACUCAGAAACAACGUCCCAGUUCGGACUGCAGGCUGCAACUCGCCUGCACGAAGUCGGAAUUGCUAGUAAUCGUGGAUCAGCAUGCCACGGUGAAUACGUUCCCGGGCCUUGCACUCACCGCCCGUCA
rnacentral:rRNA from 1 species